CGCUGGCGGCGUGCUUAACACAUGCAAGUCGAACGAACCUUCGGGUUAGUGGCGGACGGGUGAGUAACGCGUGAGAAUCUGCCCUCAGGAGGGGGAUAACGGUUGGAAACGACCGCUAAUACCCCAUAUGCCUACUGGUGAAAUGAAUUUCGCCUGAGGAUGAGCUCGCGUCUGAUUAGCUAGUUGGUGAGGUAAUGGCUCACCAAGGCUUCGAUCAGUAGCUGGUCUGAGAGGAUGAUCAGCCACACUGGGACUGAGACACGGCCCAGACUCCUACGGGAGGCAGCAGUGGGGAAUUUUCCGCAAUGGGCGAAAGCCUGACGGAGCAACGCCGCGUGAGGGACGAAGGCCUCUGGGCUGUAAACCUCUUUUCUCAAGGAAGAAGAUAUGACGGUACUUGAGGAAUAAGCCACGGCUAAUUCCGUGCCAGCAGCCGCGGUAAUACGGGAGUGGCAAGCGUUAUCCGGAAUUAUUGGGCGUAAAGCGUCCGCAGGCGGCUUUUCAAGUCUGCUGUUAAAGCGUGGAGCUUAACUCCAUCAUGGCAGUGGAAACUGAAAGGCUUGAGUAUGGUAGGGGCAGAGGGAAUUCCCGGUGUAGCGGUGAAAUGCGUAGAUAUCGGGAAGAACACCAGUGGCGAAGGCGCUCUGCUGGGCCAUUACUGACGCUCAUGGACGAAAGCCAGGGGAGCGAAAGGGAUUAGAUACCCCUGUAGUCCUGGCCGUAAACGAUGAACACUAGGUGUCGGGGGAAUCGACCCCCUCGGUGUCGUAGCUAACGCGUUAAGUGUUCCGCCUGGGGAGUACGCAC
rnacentral:rRNA from 1 species